AUUACUCUACCAUGCCGAGAUAUAACUGCAUGGGGCUUCACAACCGUUGAGCGGCAACGGAUAUACAAAUUAAAGCGGUAUCAUGAAGCACAGCUACGGAGGUAA
rnacentral:ncRNA from 1 species